rnacentral:tRNA from 1 species
GGGUGAUAUGGAUCGGGGAGCCUGUCGGCAUUUUGGUGCUGCCGCGGGCGAUCAGCCAGCCAUCUGCGCGUUCAAGUCGCGCCACUACUUGC